GCCUUAUUAUGAAUGUCUGACAUAUCAGCAGAAGCACCGUAUGUAUGGGUUGUGAUCUCUGUAUGUUUAUUUAAAAACACUGCUGGCCUUUUUACUUCAGCAAUAAUGUUGUAUACACCAUUCAAUGUUCAUUAUUCAUGUUUGGUUAUUGUAGAAUUUUUAAAUGAUUUUGAAUUUUUAUUUUUGAAUUGUUUUAUCAACUUUAUUGAAGAGUAUACUUGAUGUGUGAUAUGAAUUGAAUGAUUUAACUGUCCAGUUAGGAAAAAAAUUAGAAUAUUUUGGCAUGUUGAUAAAUACAUUUAGUAACAUUAAAAAAAAAAUCAAAAUUAUUAAUCUUCUGUAAUACCACUAGAUUUUCAUUUGAAAUACCGGUAGAAAAUCUUAACAAUCUCUACAUGUACAUGUCCACAUGAGAUGACAUCCUUAUAUGUAAGUAUGAAUAGUAAAAUAUGAACAAAUCA
rnacentral:misc_RNA from 1 species